UACGUAGGCAGCAAGCGUUGUUCGGAGUUACUGGGCGUAAAGGGUGCGUAGGCGGUUGUUUAAGUUUGGUGUGAAAUCUCCCGGCUCAACUGGGAGGGUGCGCCGAAUACUGAGGGACUAGAGUACGGGAGAGGAAAGUGGAAUUCCUGGUGUAGCGGUGAAAUGCGUAGAUAUCAGGAGGAACACCGGUGGUGUAGACGGCUUUCUGGACCGUAACUGACGCUGAGACACGAAAGCGUGGGUAGCAAACAGG
rnacentral:rRNA from 1 species